rnacentral:rRNA from 1 species
CCCUUAGAUGUUCUGGGCCGCACGCGCGCUACACUGAUGCAUUCAACGAGCCUAUCCUUGACCGACAGGUCCGGGUAAUCUUUGAAUCUGCAUCGUGACGGGGAUAGAUUAUUGCAAUUAUUAAUCUUCAACGAGGAAUGCCUAGUAGGCGCAAGUCAUCAGCUUGCGUCGAUUACGUCCCUGCCCUUUGUACACACCGCCCGUCGCUCCUACCGAUUGGGUGUGCUGGUGAAAUGUUCGGAUCGGCCGUUUGUCGCGGUUUCCGCGGCUCGUAGCUGAGAAGUUCAUUAAACCCUCCCACCUAGAGGAAGGAGAAGUCGUAACA